CUUACUGUAAUGCAGUGUGGCGUGAAGAAUUGAGAAGUGACAUCACUGGUUUCAGAACUAGUCGCGAUGGCGAUAUCUGGCAACAUACUACCAGCCUCGUGUUGGUGUGGUGGCGGGCGGCCGGCGUAGAGCAGGCGGCGCCUCCUAAGCUGUGUUGGGCCAGUGUGGUGAGAGUGGUGUCGUCAGCUUGCUCCGAUCACCGCCCGCCAGUGUGUGAUGGCUGUUGGCAGUCACCACAAGGUCCCCAAGGCGGCCAAGGAAGGGGAGACGACUGCACUUCGCCAAGCCCUUCCCCCUAACCCAGACUCCACCAGGCACGCGCCGGG